AGUGUUACUCAUCGGUUAAGGUUGGCAAUUUUUGACCGCUUUUAGGUCAAUGAUGUUGCUAGAGCGCGGCCGCAAGCCCCGGUAUGAAGGGCGUAUAGGGAACAACGAAAAGGUCUUCACGCUCGAACC
rnacentral:sRNA from 1 species